rnacentral:rRNA from 1 species
GUGGACGCCAGUCUGCAUGGAGCCGACCUUGAAAUACCACCCUUUAAUGUUUGAUGUUCUAACGUGGACCCGUAAUCCGGGUUGCGGACAGUGUCUGGUGGGUAGUUUGACUGGGGCGGUCUCCUCCUAAAGAGUAACGGAGGAGCACGAAGGUUGGCUAAUCCUGGUCGGACAUCAGGAGGUUAGUGCAAUGGCAUAAGCCAGCUUGACUGCGAGCGUGACGGCGCGAGCAGGUGCGAAAGCAGGUCAUAGUGAUCCGGUGGUUCUGAAUGGAAGGGCCAUCGCUCAACGGAUAAAAGGUACUCCGGGGAUAACAGGCUGAUACCGCCCAAGAGUUCAUAUCGACGGCGGUGUUUGGCACCUCGAUGUCGGCUCAUCACAUCCUGGGGCUGAAGUAGGUCCCAAGGGUAUGGCUGUUCGCCAUUUAAAGUGGUACGCGAGCUGGGUUUAGAACGUCGUGAGACAGUUCGGUCCCUAUCUGCCGUGGGCGCUGGAGAACUGAGGGGGGCUGCUCCUAGUACGAGAGGACCGGAGUGGACGCAUCACUGGUGUUCGGGUUGUCAUGCCAAUGGCACUGCCCGGUAGCUAAAUGCGGAAGAGAUAAGUGCUGAAAGCAUCUAAGCACGAAACUUGCCCCGAGAUGAGUUCUCCCUGAGACUUAGAGUCUCCUGAAGGAACGUUGAAGACGACGACGUUGAUAGGCCGGGUGUGUAAGCGCAGCGAUGCGUUGAGCUAACCGGUACUAAUGAA